rnacentral:rRNA from 1 species
AAAGCUCGUAGUUGGAUUUCUGUUAAUAAUUUAUAUAAUAUAUUUUGAUAGAUAUUUAUAUAAUAUUAACAUAAUUCAUAUUACUAUUUUUUUUAGUAUAUGAAAUUUUACUUUGAGAAAAUUAGAGUGCUUAAAGCAGGCAUAUGCCUUGAAUACUCCAGCAUGGAAUAAUAUUAAAGAUUUUUAUCUUUCUUAUUGGUUCUAAGAUAAGAAUAAUGAUUAAUAGGGACAGUUGGGGGCA